GACGAACGCUGGCGGCGUGCUUAACACAUGCAAGUCGAACGGAAAGGCCCUGCUUUUGUGGGGUGCUCGAGUGGCGAACGGGUGAGUAACACGUGAGUAACCUGCCCUUGACUUUGGGAUAACUUCAGGAAACUGGGGCUAAUACCGGAUAGGAGCUCCUGCUGCAUGGUGGGGGUUGGAAAGUUUCGGCGGUUGGGGAUGGACUCGCGGCUUAUCAGCUUGUUGGUGGGGUAGUGGCUUACCAAGGCUUUGGCGGGUAGCCGGCCUGAGAGGGUGACCGGCCACAUUGGGACUGAGAUACGGCCCAGACUCCUACGGGAGGCAGCAGUGGGGAAUAUUGCACAAUGGGCGGAAGCCUGAUGUAGCAACGCCGCGUGCGGGAUGACGGCCUUCGGGUUGUAAACCGCUUUCGCCUGUGACGAAGCGUGAGUGACGGUAAUGGGUAAAGAAGCACCGGCUAACUACGUG
rnacentral:rRNA from 1 species